AUGAAGCUGGAUUCGCUAGUAAUCGCGCAUCAGCCACGGCGCGGUGAAUACGUUCCCGGGCCUUGUACACACCGCCCGUCAAGCCAUGGAAGCCGGGAGUGCCUGAAGUGCGUGAGCGCAAGCAGCGCCCUAAGGUAAAACCGGUGACUGGGGCUAAGUCGUAACAAGGUAUC
rnacentral:rRNA from 1 species